rnacentral:misc_RNA from 1 species
GAAAUGCGAUAAGUAAUGUGAAUUGCAGAAUUCAGUGAAUCAUCAAAUCUUUGAACGCACAUUGCGCCCGCCAGCACUCUGGCGGGCAUGCCUGUUCGAGCGUCAUUUCAACCCUCAGAACCCCUUGCGGGAUCUGGCGUUGGGGAUUGGCAUCCAGCCAGCCCCGAAAUCUAGCGGCGGUCCCUCCGCGACCUCCCCUGUGCAGUAGCGAUACCUCGCAGCGGGACAGCGGUCUGACCACGCCGUAAAACCCCCAACUUCUCAAGGUUGACCUCGAAUCAGGUAGGAAUACCCGCUGAACUUAAGC